rnacentral:rRNA from 1 species
CCAAUAGCGUAUAUUAAAGUUGUUGCAGUUAAAAAGCUCGUAGUUGAAUUUCGGGAUCAAUAUAUCGGUCGUGCCUGGGUACGUACUGGUAUCAUUGGUUUCUCCUUUCUGACGACACUUGAUGUCAUUAAUUUGGUGUUAUGGGAAGUUAGGACUGUUACUUUGAAAAAAUUAGAGUGUUUAAAGGAGGCUUUGGCUUGAAUACAUUAGACUGGAAAAAUGAAAUAGGGCGUUUGAUUCUAUUUUGUUGGUUUCUAGGAUUGACGUAAUGAUUAAUAGGGAUAGUUGGGGGCAUUAGUAUUCAAUUGUCAGAGGUGAAAUUCUUGGAUUUAUUGAAGACUAACUACUGCGAAAGCAUUUGCCAAGGAUGUUUUCAUUAAUCAAGAACGAAAGUUAGGGGAUCGAAGACGAUCAGAUACCGUCGUAGUCUUAACCAUAAACUAUGCCGACUAGGGAUCGGAUGAUGUUGAUUUUUUAAUGACUCAUUCGGCGCCUUACG